GCCUGUUUAUCAAAAACAUGGCUCCUUGUAUUUUAUAAAUAAGGAGUCGGACCUGCCCAGUGAAAUAUUUUUAACGGCCGCGGUACUCUGACCGUGCAAAGGUAGCAUAAUAAUUUGCCUUAUAAUUGAAGGCUGGUAUGAAGGGUUUGACGAGAAUAAAGCUGUCUCUUUAUAAUUAAUUAGAAUUUUAUUUUUAGGUGCAAAAGCCUAUAUUUCAUUAAAAGACAAGAAGACCCUAUCGAGCUUAAAAAAAAUUAGUAGAUUUAUAAUAAUAAUGAUUUAAAAAUCUAACUGUUAAGAAUUUUAGUUGGGGCGACUGAGGAACCGAAAAAGCUUCCUUUAAAUUUCACAAUUUAGACCGUUUUAGUUAUGAUCCAAAAUAUUUGAUUAAAAAAAUUAGUUACCGUAGGGAUAACAGCAUUAUCUUUUUUAAGAGCCCAUAUCGAAAAAAAGGUUUGUGACCUCGAUGUUGGACCAGAAUAUCCCAAAGAUGCAGCAGUCUUUAAAGGUUGGUCUGUUCGACCAUUAAAAUUCUACGUGAUCUGAGUUCA
rnacentral:rRNA from 1 species